rnacentral:rRNA from 1 species
AAUGAACGCUAGCGGGGUGCCUUACACAUGCAAGUCGAACGGAGUGACGGACGGACGAGUAAUGUAUCGGUACGUACCCAGUAUCGAGGGAUAGCUACGCGAAAGCGUAGCUAAUACCGCAUCCUUUUGGCGCGCCCGAUAUCGGAUUUGCUAGUUGGUGUGGUAACGGCGUACCAAGGCGACUAACCGUAGCUGGUUUGAGAGGGCGACCAGCCACACUGGUACUGAGACACGGCCCAGACUCCUACGGGAGGCAGCAGUGGGGAAUUUUCGGCAAUGGGGGAAACCCUGAUCCAGCAAUCCCGCGUGAGUGAUGAAGGCCUUCGGGUUGUAAAACACUUUUGGCAGGGAAGCGGUACCUGCACAAAAAGCACCGGCUAACUACGUGCCAGCAGCCGCGGUAAUUC